rnacentral:rRNA from 1 species
UACGUAGGGUGCGAGCGUUGUCCGGAAUUAUUGGGCGUAAAGAGCUCGUAGGCGGUCUGUCGCGUCGGAUGUGAAAACUCGGGGCUCAACCCCGAGCCUGCAUUCGAUACGGGCAGACUAGAGUUCGGUAGGGGAGACUGGAAUUCCUGGUGUAGCGGUGAAAUGCGUAGAUAUCGUAAGGAAGACCAGUGGCGAAGGCGGGUCUCUGGACAGUUCCUGACGCUGAGGCACGAAGGUCAGGGGAGCAAACGGG